CUAAAAUCAUAAUAUGAAAGGUUGUCAUUUUAGAAAUUAGUGCACAUAUUUCUUCAUAAUCAAAAUUAUUACUAAGAGUAAGCUUUAACAAUAAAUAUGGCCUUGUACCUUUCAAUUGACCCAUCAGAUUUUGAUUUAAUCUUGUAAACAACAAAUAGUAUGUUUUUUUGGGUGGUAGCAAACCGAAGUCCCAUUUAUGGGUUUGAUGAAGAGCAGUAAGUUCAUCAAUCAUAACACCAUGCCACAGGGGGUCAAAAGCAGCCUCUUUACGAGACUUAGGUUUAGAAAGACAGUGAGCAACAAAUGAAAUAAAAGAUAGAGAAUAUAGGGAGUAUAUCAUGGAUCUAGAAAAAAAAACCCGUUAACAUGAGGACUUUUUAGAUUAUUUCUUGUCAAUUAACAAGUUUUUAAGAUUCUUUAAUCGAAUAUAUUAGUUUUGAAUCAACAUGACAUAAGUAGAUCCAAGUUAAAUAGAAAACACACUCUAAAGUAACACAAAUAGAUUAUUACUUUAGAAGAACACUUCCCAAUAUCAAAGGACAUUUUUUAAAUAUAACAAUUUCUAAAGACAGACAAAUAAACAUAAUUGAUAUAAUUGAUGUUAUUUUCACAAAAAAUAAUGUUAAAAUAACAAAAUUUCAAACUCCAAAAUCCAAACGACAUUCUCAAAAUGAGAUAUUUCGGAUUAAGAAUUAGUGUAACACAGUUGCAUUACUUUUUUUAAAAAACUUAUCGAAACAGAAGUUUAUUCUAUUACAAAGACAUAAAAGACAUCACUUAGGGGUGUUUAAAAUUGUGUUUUAAACCAUUUAUUGAUUUAUUUCCUUUUUAAUAAGUUUGAAAAUAACUUCUUUAAUUACCUUUUGGUCACUACUAAGAAGGGACCUAAUGAUCUUAGGCUCUUAGCCCUUAGGACAAAGCGAGGAAACAUUGAAAUCAAGUGGCACCGGCGAGAACCUUACCCUUGAACUCCAAUAUUGAAGAAAAAGACCAUGAAUUCGGGUGGUUGUCCAAGCCGUUACACCCCACUAAUGGCUAUAUUUCAACUUGUUAUUUAAUAUUUAUUAAAAAAAAAAUCAACCUUCUCAAUUUUUAACAAAUAAAUUAUCGAUUUUUCACAAUUUUCAAAAUUUAUAAAACAUUAUACAUGUGCCAAAUGGAUUCAUCAUCUUCAAUAUCGUUAAGUUCUCGUUAAGUUCAAACUUUAUCGUUAAGUUCUCGUUAAGUUCAAACUUUAUGUAUUGGCUUUUAUCAUCGAGUUCAUAUGUUACAAGUUGGGGCUAGCCCAUCUGAUUAACAUUAAGGUUCUAAUCUAACAACUAACUAGAAGAUCAUGGAUUCGAUUUCUUACAGAGGAAAAAAUAAUUAUUUGUCGUUUCAAAAAAAAAAAAAAAAAAUCGAGUUUAUAUGCUAUCUCUUUAUCAAAUACAUAUACAUGCAACUCUCACGUGAAAACCAUUGCUUAAAUUAUGUUCCUUCUUUUUUAUGGAACUACAAGUUCAAGCAGAUCAAUGAAUACAAGAAGUUGUGUAAACAUAAACCAUAAAAGGGCACAUGGUCGUCACAUUUAAUAAGUAUUAAAAUAUGUCCGAAAGAAGUUCACGUGAAAGUCUAGAAAGGUUUUGUACAUGUGUUAUUCACUUGUAUGGAGAAGAAUAUGUGUGUAAAUCCAUUGUCAGUGACAUACAAAUUUGUAUGUGGUACAUGAAUCCAAAUAUUUUUUAGUCAUUGUUUGAUUUGGCGAUGACAUGAAUAUUGGGAUUAAGUGUCACAAUCUAUGACACGACAUGACAAAUAUACAUGAUAUGAAAAAAAUUGAGACAAAAUUGAUAUUUGAAUUUGUGUUUGUGUCAAGCGCAAAAAACACGUCGUGUCAUGUUCAAGAUUCAACACAAAUUGAUGAGAUAUUAAUUUUUGGUUAUCGUAUUUUUUUUUAGUUGUCAUGUUUUGUAAGAUUUUUUUUUUAAUUAAAUAAACUAAAGGUUUGUUUUUUCUAUCAUUUUCGUGUUUCUCAUAUUGGUCGUUUUCAUCAUAUUUUAACCGGGUUGUUUUCGUGUUGUUAAAGCAUAACUAGAAAUCGUGUUGUGUUUUUUAUUAUCAUAUAAAAAUUGUCCUAUCAUAAGAUGUUUGCUAAAGUAUGACACAAUUGUAUGAUAUGACACCCAUAAUUGGGAUGUAGAGUCGGAAUUAAGAUAAUUUCCUCCACCGUAAUAAAACAUUUGUCAUAAGUCACAUGACUUCCUAUAUAUAACCAAUAAAAAAUAAAUAAAAUGACAAUAAUAACCUCAUGUUUUACCUAAUAAAUAUACACACCAGUAUCUUUUGUGUCGCCAUGAACCUAAAAAAAUGAAAAACCAUCGAUACAAACCUUGGUUUUCAGAUUUACCAUUACAAAGAUACGUUUCUUAUAUUUUUCGUCAACAUGAGCCAAACAAAAAAUGAUAUAAGAGGGUUCUUAUCUAUCCAUUAUGUUCACAAUUACUAAACUACAUAUUUCGUUUUACAUAAAUGACCAUUUAUUUUUCAAUGUCAUUUAUGAAUGGUGGAUUUUCAAUGCUACUUAUUUUUCUUUGAUUUCAAAUGUUUUUGACGAGCUUUGAUGUAGAUUGAAUUUUAGUAUUGUGUGGGAUAAUUUGAUGAAAAUUCUAAAAUUUAGUUGAGUCAAUAUGUUAAUAUUUGUAGCUUUCCAGCUCUAAUGAAAUCAUGAGACAAAAACACGAACUGAUGUUGUUUGAGGGACAUAAUAUAUUUUGCGUUGUGUAAUGAAAUUUAUCCAGGAAAAUUUAUAUAGUCAUUGCACUUUAAACUUAUCUCUUUAAUCAAUAAAUGUUGAACUUAAGCUUUCUUCUUUAAGCAUAUGUUUUUCUUUUAGGUUUUUAAUUUGACAGAAAAAGAAAUGAGUUACGAAAAAGAAAAAAAAUGAAAAAAGUUGUGGAAAUAAAAAAGAGAGAAGAAAAAAAAUUGUUAAAAAUUGUUGAGUGAGUAAAAGCUAUCAAAGCAUGAAUAUCUUGAAAAAAUAAAGAAAUAAGACAAAUUGCUAAAAGUCAAGGGCUUAGUAGUCAAAGUUGCAAUUUUUCUUUCUAGAUUAUUUUUAUCAUAUGUAUGUUUGGGAACUUACCAAAAAUACAGUGAGGUUGUGAAAAUUUUCUGAGAAUGUAUUUAGAGGGAUGUAGAAAUGGGUGUUCUUAAAAAUAAAUGGGGAACGUUUAUGAAGAUUGUAAGUAUUUAGAAAACUAGACACAAAUAUAUGCAUUGAGGUGAAACAUAAUUUAAUUUGGGUUAUUAUAUAUGAUAUUGGUGAAUAAUACUUUGAUAUAACAAUAAUAUAAAAAAUCAAUUUUGCUUAGGGCAAGCAAAAGACAAAUGUGAGGUAUUUUGAUAUUAUUAUAUAUAAUCAAGUAUUUUAUGCAAUAUUUUAGUAUUUUUUAGCUACAUUUAAUCAUUAUUUAUUAUAAUUAAUACUUAAUUUGUUUAUAUUUUGUUUUUGUAAUGACAAAGACAUUCUCAAGGAAAAUUAAGCUAAAUGCAAGUCUGGAGGCUAGUGACUUGAAGAAAUCAUCAAAAUAUAAGAAAACGUGCAAAAAGUGUUUGUCAUAUCAUGAUAAUAUAUAUGUCACGGCAUGGUGACGUGUCAAGCAUUAGAAAGUUCUUGAAUGUUUGCAUGGAAAGCUUAGAGGGCACAUAUAAAAACAAGACGCCACGUCGUAGUGAGCUAUUUGUCACAACGUCGUGGCGUAUUUUAAGCAAUCUUAUAAAUUCGAUUAUUAGGUCAGAAUUUAAAUUGUGCUGCAGAGAGUUGCGAUUAUUAACAACCAAAAACUUCCUAGAAACCCUAAGAAGGUUAGAGAUUGGAUUGAAUAAUUCGAAGAGAUCCAAUGAUGGGAAGUGAUAAAUCAUUCUGUUUGCUUGAUUUCUAUAUAUCUAAUCUAGUUACUCAAUGUUUAUCUUUUUUUUUUAUUUAGUUAUGGGCUAAAAACCCUUUGUUUUUGUUUAGCAUAGAUGAACUUUGAUACUAUAUGUUGAUUUAGAUUUAUAUGGAUUUAUUUAUGUUGGUUUUUACUUGUGUUUGAUAGAUCAGCUUCCUAACAUAUUAAAGUUCUGAUUUUUAUCACUUAUCUACAAGUUAUGUGUAGGUAGUUGACCAUUCCAAUUGCAUGAACAUGAUAUUUAACUAUUUAUGAUAAUUAAAUUGUUAGAUCUAGAGAUUGAACAAAUCCUAGGGUUAGGUGAUAAUAAUUACUAACUUUGAUUGUGUUAGAGAGCAUUAAAUAUCCAUGUAAUUUGCUUGAUUUAUUGUUUUGAUCAUAGAUAAGAAAAUCAUUAGAUCUUGUAAUUCAUAGUUCGAAAAUAUUAAAAUCAAUUUAGUGUUCACUUGUUGCAUAAUCAUUGUAAUAGUUGUGCAUGUUGUUAAAACACUAGGAAUCCGAACAAGAUAACUAGUAAAAUUAGAAUUCAGUAACCAAUUAAAUAAUUCAUUACAUAAGAAAUCAACCAAAGGGUAAAGGUAAUUCGACGCUAAACGAGAGUGAUCUUUAAUCUUGAUUUAAAAUCGUUUUUGUUUUGUUUGAGUAAAUUUGCUAGUUUUAUUGUUUAAAAUUGAUAAUUUAAGUUUUUCUGAACUUGUAAAAUUGGAUAAAAUCCCAAUUUAUAGUAUUUUUAUUAGCUUAAUUAGUAGUGGUACUUUCUCAUUAGAAUAAUUCUCAUUCCCUAGUUUUCGACACCCUUUUUUACCUUAACUAUAUUAUUAUGUGACUAGGUACACUAUCUAUUUUAUUUUAAACUGGUUGAGAUAUGACAUGACAUAAAUUUAAAACUAUUAGUGCAAAUAAACGCAUCACACGACUAGGCACAUAAGAUAUCAACAUGAAAUCAUCGAGGGGCCCAAGGAUAUCGUUUCUCAAGUUAAAGCAGAAAGAACAGAUAAACUUUAACUACAUAGUUUUUGUCUACUUGUUAAAUUAUGCAUGGACUUACUUGUUCUGACCACCAGCUACGGAUAAUGUUAGAUCAUGACCAAUGCAUAACCAACUCGUAUGCAAAAAACUCAAUGACUCUCCUUUUUAAGAAUAAAAUAUAUUAUCAUCUUAGAAUUUCUCGUGAUUAAUCCAUGAAGUAAUCUCUUUGAGUGUGAUUUGUUCCAAUAUUUAAAUCUCUAUAAAAUACUCAUGAACGAUAGUUGCAAUCUCCGUGCUAUGUCUAGUCACUAUAUAAAUUCUACUAACACUUUAUAACAAUAUUACUAACUCCCCAAGAGUAUGACUAAUUGUGGAGUCUAAUUAAAGUAAUAUUCAGGAAUUAGGUUCUAAACAUGUAAAAGGAUAACACGGUGAUAAACUUAUUGAAUGACCGAUCUCCAUCGCAUAUUAAGAUAUAUACUUAAUAAUCACAAAUUUAGAUUGACAUUUUAUACUUAUUAAGUUCAUAAAUAUAAAACAAACUUAUUUUAAGUGGGAUCUAGUCAUACCAUAUGCAAAUCAAAUGCCUCAUGAUCAAGUAUAACCAUUAGACUUGUUGACUUGACGAAUGGAUCGACAAGAUUUAUAUCGAUGUAACUCUAUUGACUGAUGCCUUCACAUUUGAGCAACUAUUAGAUGUGAUGGUAGUUGUUGAGUAUCAUGUGAGCUUGCAUGACUUUGUGAAUGGAUCGACAAGAUUUAUAUCGAUGUGACUCUAUUGACUGAUGUCUUCACAUUUGAGCAACUAUUAGAUGUGAUGGUAGUUGCUGCGUAUCAUGUGAGCUUGCAGCUUGCAUGACUUUGUGAUCCAUACUUGAGGUAAGUUCAUCAUUUCAAUCACAAAAACCUUCAAAAUGAUCAUAAAUGAUCGAAAGAAAUUCAUUAUUUACAUGUGCUUCGAAUUUCAAUCAUUCAUUAUUUACAUUUGUUUUGAAUUUCAAUCAUUCAUAUAGCUUCCUUUGCAUCAUUAUUUACAUUUGUUUUGAAUUUCAAUCAUUCAUAUAGCUUCCUUUGCAGCCAAACUAGAUGCAACUCUAAGUUUAUUCUCAAAUCCAUUAUAAUGUAUUACUUGGUAGUCUCCAAUAAAUUAUUUAUAAAUUUCAACUACCAACGAAAUUGUCUUUGUUAGUUUGAAACUUAUGUAACCCUUACAAGUUACAAUGAAUUCUUUCAUACUACAAUCAUGUCCUUUGUCCUCCUAUGACACUAAGGAACAUACUCAAUAUUGAUUUGUUAAUUCUUGUCAAGUUGAUCCUAUCUAACCUGUUAUGCUCAAGAUAUUAAAGUCAUUGAUCCUAUCUAACCUGUGUUAUGCUCAAGAUAUUAAAGUCAUUGAUCCUAUCUAACCUGUUAUGCUAAGGACAUAUAAGUCAUUGGAUCUGGUAUAUGUCAUGGCUCUUUUAGCUCAAUACCAGAAUUAGGACAUUAGCUCAAUGUCGAGUCAUAAUUUAUGAACUAUUUCGAGUUUUCUCGAGACAUCUUGUACUUUAGCUUAUCCUAAUGAAUUAGGAUAGAUCUAUCUGCAUAAAUUAACACAUUCACUAUGUGUAUUGUUUCUCCCACUAACAUUGUAACACACAUGGCUCAUUUUUGUUUCUUGCAUUAGCAUAUAGAAUAUCAUCAUUUCUUGAAAUUCAAACAUUUUGAAGUUUUAAUCGGAACAAAGAUACUAAUUGCUCCAACUCUCAUUAACACACACAAAAGGUCCAUGUUCAAAAAACUAAUUUACAGACAUGUACAAAAAGUAAGUGUCUUUGUUACAAGUUUAUACAAGAUUAACAAGUGUAAAAGUAAAAGGCACAACAAUUGGGUUAAUUCUUAGUGUUGCAAACAUGGUUGUCUAAGAUAACUAAUCUUUUCAAACAAUGCAAGUGAAAAAACGUAAUUUUAUUAGAAUUUAAUCAUUUUUUUAGCUGACAAAAUGCAAUACAGCUAUUAACAGGGACUAUUUGAUACGAAAAAAAGAUUCAUAAAAACAUGAAAUAAUGUUAUUCUCAUGGCCAAUCCCAAGAGGUAAUUGCAGAGACUCCGCUCCUCAAGGCGAUAGGAUAUGACAAGUCCCAAAAGACAUUCAUCCAUGGGAUCCUUCACCUCAUACAAAGCAAAGGCUCAACCAUUCAAAAUGUCAAGGGAUCAAUCUUCGACGAUUUAUUUCAUUUGAGUUUUGCGAAGACGUAAAAACAUCGCCCCAAUUUUGUUUAAAUCGUCGAAAAAAAUUUCAAUCACAAACAU
rnacentral:lncRNA from 1 species